rnacentral:rRNA from 1 species
AGUGAACGCUGGCGGUAGGCCUAACACAUGCAAGUCGAACGGCAGCACAGUAAGAGCUUGCUCUUACGGGUGGCGAGUGGCGGACGGGUGAGGAAUACAUCGGAAUCUACUUUUUCGUGGGGGAUAACGUAGGGAAACUUACGCUAAUACCGCAUACGACCUACGGGUGAAAGCAGGGGAUCUUCGGACCUUGCGCGAUUGGAUGAGCCGAUGUCGGAUUAGCUAGUUGGCGGGGUAAAGGCCCACCAAGGCGACGAUCCGUAGCUGGUCUGAGAGGAUGAUCAGCCACACUGGAACUGAGACACGGUCCAGACUCCUACGGGAGGCAGCAGUGGGGAAUAUUGGACAAUGGGCGCAAGCCUGAUCCAGCCAUACCGCGUGGGUGAAGAAGGCCUUCGGGUUGUAAAGCCCUUUUGUUGGGAAAGAAAAGCAGCAGGCUAAUACCCCGCUGUUCUGACGGUACCCAAAGAAUAAGCACCGGCUAACUUCGUG